GGGUUGUGAGGUUAAGCGACUAAGCGUACACGGUGGAUGCCCUGGCAGUCAGAGGCGAUGAAGGACGUGCUAAUCUGCGAUAAGCGUCGGUAAGGUGAUAUGAACCGUUAUAACCGGCGAUUUCCGAAUGGGGAAACCCAGUGUGAUUCGUCACACUAUCAUUAACUGAAUCCAUAGGUUAAUGAGGCGAACCGGGGGAACUGAAACAUCUAAGUACCCCGAGGAAAAGAAAUCAACCGAGAUUCCCCCAGUAGCGGCGAGCGAACGGGGAGCAGCCCAGAGCCUGAAUCAGUGUGUGUGUUAGUGGAAGCGUCUGGAAAGGCGCGCGAUACAGGGUGACAGCCCCGUACACAAAAAUGCACAUGCUGUGAGCUCGAUGAGUAGGGCGGGACACGUGGUAUCCUGUCUGAAUAUGGGGGGACCAUCCUCCAAGGCUAAAUACUCCUGACUGACCGAUAGUGAACCAGUACCGUGAGGGAAAGGCGAAAAGAACCCCGGCGAGGGGAGUGAAAAAGAACCUGAAACCGUGUACGUACAAGCAGUGGGAGCACAGAGCAAUCUGUGUGACUGCGUACCUUUUGUAUAAUGGGUCAGCGACUUAUAUUCUGUAGCAAGGUUAACCGAAUAGGGGAGCCGAAGGGAAACCGAGUCUUAACUGGGCGUUAAGUUGCAGGGUAUAGACCCGAAACCCGGUGAUCUAGCCAUGGGCAGGUUGAAGGUUGGGUAACACUAACUGGAGGACCGAACCGACUAAUGUUGAAAAAUUAGCGGAUGACUUGUGGCUGGGGGUGAAAGGCCAAUCAAACCGGGAGAUAGCUGGUUCUCCCCGAAAGCUAUUUAGGUAGCGCCUCGUGAAUUCAUCUCCGGGGGUAGAGCACUGUUUCGGCAAGGGGGUCAUCCCGACUUACCAACCCGAUGCAAACUGCGAAUACCGGAGAAUGUUAUCACGGGAGACACACGGCGGGUGCUAACGUCCGUCGUGAAGAGGGAAACAACCCAGACCGCCAGCUAAGGUCCCAAAGUCAUGGUUAAGUGGGAAACGAUGUGGGAAGGCCCAGACAGCCAGGAUGUUGGCUUAGAAGCAGCCAUCAUUUAAAGAAAGCGUAAUAGCUCACUGGUCGAGUCGGCCUGCGCGGAAGAUGUAACGGGGCUAAACCAUGCACCGAAGCUGCGGCAGCGACGCUUAUGCGUUGUUGGGUAGGGGAGCGUUCUGUAAGCCUGCGAAGGUGUGCUGUGAGGCAUGCUGGAGGUAUCAGAAGUGCGAAUGCUGACAUAAGUAACGAUAAAGCGGGUGAAAAGCCCGCUCGCCGGAAGACCAAGGGUUCCUGUCCAACGUUAAUCGGGGCAGGGUGAGUCGACCCCUAAGGCGAGGCCGAAAGGCGUAGUCGAUGGGAAACAGGUUAAUAUUCCUGUACUUGGUGUUACUGCGAAGGGGGGACGGAGAAGGCUAUGUUGGCCGGGCGACGGUUGUCCCGGUUUAAGCGUGUAGGCUGGUUUUCCAGGCAAAUCCGGAAAAUCAAGGCUGAGGCGUGAUGACGAGGCACUACGGUGCUGAAGCAACAAAUGCCCUGCUUCCAGGAAAAGCCUCUAAGCAUCAGGUAACAUCAAAUCGUACCCCAAACCGACACAGGUGGUCAGGUAGAGAAUACCAAGGCGCUUGAGAGAACUCGGGUGAAGGAACUAGGCAAAAUGGUGCCGUAACUUCGGGAGAAGGCACGCUGAUAUGUAGGUGAAGUCCCUCGCGGAUGGAGCUGAAAUCAGUCGAAGAUACCAGCUGGCUGCAACUGUUUAUUAAAAACACAGCACUGUGCAAACACGAAAGUGGACGUAUACGGUGUGACGCCUGCCCGGUGCCGGAAGGUUAAUUGAUGGGGUCAGCGCAAGCGAAGCUCUUGAUCGAAGCCCCGGUAAACGGCGGCCGUAACUAUAACGGUCCUAAGGUAGCGAAAUUCCUUGUCGGGUAAGUUCCGACCUGCACGAAUGGCGUAAUGAUGGCCAGGCUGUCUCCACCCGAGACUCAGUGAAAUUGAACUCGCUGUGAAGAUGCAGUGUACCCGCGGCAAGACGGAAAGACCCCGUGAACCUUUACUAUAGCUUGACACUGAACAUUGAGCCUUGAUGUGUAGGAUAGGUGGGAGGCUUUGAAGUGUGGACGCCAGUCUGCAUGGAGCCGACCUUGAAAUACCACCCUUUAAUGUUUGAUGUUCUAACGU
rnacentral:rRNA from 1 species